rnacentral:rRNA from 1 species
GACGAACGCUGGCGGCGUGCUUAACACAUGCAAGUCGAACGGAAAGGCCCUGCUUGCCGGGUACUCGAGUGGCGAACGGGUGAGUAACACGUGGGUGAUCUGCCCUGCACUUCGGGAUAAGCCUGGGAAACUGGGUCUAAUACCGGAUAGGAGCCAUUUUUAGUGUGAUGGUUGGAAAGUUUUUUCGGUGUAGGAUGAGCUCGCGGCCUAUCAGCUUGUUGGUGGGGUAAUGGCCUACCAAGGCGGCGACGGGUAGCCGGCCUGAGAGGGUGGACGGCCACAUUGGGACUGAGAUACGGCCCAGACUCCUACGGGAGGCAGCAGUGGGGAAUAUUGCACAAUGGGCGCAAGCCUGAUGCAGCGACGCCGCGUGGGGGAUGACGGCCUUCGGGUUGUAAACUCCUUUCGCUAGGGACGAAGCUUUUUGUGACGGCACCUAGAUAAGAAGCACCGGCUAACUACGUG